AACGAACGCUGGCGGCAUGCCUAACACAUGCAAGUCGAACGAGAUCUUCGGGUCUAGUGGCGCACGGGUGCGUAACGCGUGGGAAUCUGCCCUUUGGUUCGGAAUAACAGUUGGAAACGACUGCUAAUACCGGAUGAUGACGAAAGUCCAAAGAUUUAUCGCCAGAGGAUGAGCCCGCGUAGGAUUAGCUAGUUGGUGUGGUAAAGGCGCACCAAGGGGACGGUCCUUAGCUGGUCAGAGAGGAUGAUCAGCCACACUGGGACUGAGACACGGACCAGACUCCUACGGGAGGCGGCAGUGGGGAAUAUUGGACCAUGGGCGAAAGCCUGAUCCAGCAAUGCCGCGUGAGUGAUGAGGGCCUUAGGGUUGUAAAGCUCUUUUACCCGGGAUGAUAAUGACAGUACCGGGAGAAUAAGCUCCGGCUAACUCCGUGCCAGCCGCCGCAGUAA
rnacentral:rRNA from 1 species